CGCAAUGGCAACAGCUCACAACAACUUCGCGAGCUCACGAGAUGCACAGGGAAGAGUGACUGGAGGGAAUACACAGCGAUAACUAGAGUUUCCUGUGAUUUAAAAGGACUGCGAGGACAUUCACCUGACAUCAACGAAGACGGUGGCUUCUUGAGUUUCUGAAGAAGCCACUAUACCAUACGCGUAGCUGGAAAAAAAGCUGAAAAAUUAUCUGGAAAAUCUGUCACAGCAGCCAGUGAAUGUAGCGUAUUGACUGCGAGGACACUCAUCUGACAUCAACGAAGACGGUGGCUUCUUGAGAUCCUGAAGAACUUACGGACUGCGAGGACAUUCAUCUGACAUCAAAAGACGGUGGAUUCUUGAGUUUCUGAAGGACUUACGCCAAAGUGACGCGACAGCUCCAGCUGAAAGUGUCGGAGAUUGCAACGAUGCAACAGCAAGAGGCAAACAAUUAGCAUUAUGAAAAGGUCCAAGCCUUCUGGGUCAACGGGAAGGAAACUGAAAAAAGAACAGGAGGAAUCGAAAGUCAAAGACAGAGCGGCACUUGAGAAAUACCUCAAAAAGCCCCCAGUUGCUGGAGAAGGAACAUCUGAUCUCCCAUGUACAUCACACUCUGAAGAAUGUGAAGGAAUAACGAGCACAGUAUGUGAGUCCACCAUUGCAGCCCCCUCAGAUCCUGCUGACUGCCCAGGCCCAUCUGAGUCCAACAUUGCAGUCCCCUCAGAUCCUGCUGACUGGCCAGCACUGAGUGAUACAGUGGGAAAAGCCAUGUGAACAUCACAUUGAAAUCAUGGUCUGAUACCAGAUGGGAGAGUCGGAUCAACAGCAUAGAGGCUGUAAGUAGGGAUGCACGAUAUG